rnacentral:tRNA from 2 species
GCCGGUGUAGCUCAGUUGGUAGAGCAGCGCACUUGUAAUGCGAAGGUCGAGGGUUCGAUUCCUUUCUCCGGCACCA